AACACAUUCUGUUACUGAACUUUCAAGACAGUCUGGAGAAGUUAUUAAAUGUUUUGAAUACAUGUUGAUAUUAAGGAAGGACAUGACUGGUGCUCGUUGGUUUUCUAUUAGACAAAUAUGGUUAAUGAUCUCAUGAACAUUUAACAGAUCAUUGCUGCUUGUUAUUAAAUGGCACAUGAAAUUGUCUCAUUCACAUAUUAGAUGUGCUGCUUUUUUAAGAACCUUAGUUAAUAACUUUUUUCAUAUUGGAUAGAUGUUAAAGAGGCUUGAAAGGAAAAGAUGUACAUGUCCUUCUGUCCAGAAUUGGGCCAUACAAAGUGUUUUACUGGGACAUUAACAGGACAAGGCCCAGUAAGGAACUUGAGAGUGAGGUGAUACUUGCCUACCUUGCAAAAAUCACUAAAAAACAUCAUGAUAAAAGAGGCAAGCAGGCACUUUUCAUUGACUCCUGCGCGAUGACUGACAUAUGGAAUGGGAAAAAGACUCGACUGAAGUGUGAGCCUGCACUGUUUGACAUCAUUCUGGGGGCAGUUCAUGAGCCACACCACUGGAUAUUCACAGUAAGUUUCCUCUUGUAUGUUUUAUUAACGUGCACACUGUUAACAGCAAGCUCAACCUUUGAGAUAGGGUGAGGCGCGUGAACAUUUGGGAGGGAUUUGCUGGUUUUCUAUGUCGUGAGGAGCCAGCUAAGGUAGUUAGGUCUGUUAAUGAGGAUGAGGUGUUCCAGGCAUGUCCUGCCAGGAGGCCCCCAGGUCGACCCAUGAUGCGUUUGGUGAAUUAUAUAUCUGUGUUAGCCAGGGAACUCCUGGUGAUCAUGCCAGUGGAGCAGUUGGAGGUUGUCAGGUAAAGGGUUUGGGCCUCUCUGCUGGAGGUGCUACACCAGAGACCCAGAAUCAGAUAUGUUUAUAAAUGUGAUAGAUAAUGUCAGACUGCACAACUUGCAUAGUUCAUUGUUAACUACACACAUCCCUGAACCCUAUAGCACACACCACUAGGA